GCCCCCAUGGCGGAACUGGCAGACGCGUACGCUUCAGGUGCGUAAGCCCGCAAGGGCGUAGAGGUUCAAAUCCUCUUGGGGGCACCA
rnacentral:tRNA from 2 species